AACGAACGCUGGCGGCAGGCUUAACACAUGCAAGUCGAACGCAUCGCAAGAUGAGUGGCAGACGGGUGAGUAACACGUGGGAACAUACCCUUUGGUGCGGAACAACAACUGGAAACGGCUGCUAAUACCGCAUGCGCCCUACGGGGGAAAGAUUUAUCGCCGAAGGAUUGGCCCGCGUCUGAUUAGCUAGUUGGUGAGGUAAUGGCUCACCAAGGCGACGAUCAGUAGCUGGUCUGAGAGGAUGAUCAGCCACACUGGGACUGAGACACGGCCCAGACUCCUACGGGAGGCAGCAGUGGGGAAUAUUGGACAAUGGGCGCAAGCCUGAUCCAGCCAUGCCGCGUGAGUGAUGAAGGCCCUAGGGUUGUAAAGCUCUUUCAGCGAGGAGGAUAAUGACGUUACUCGCAGAAGAA
rnacentral:rRNA from 1 species